UAGGUGAUAUUAGCUUUGCCCUCGAGAAUCGGCGCUGGAAUUCUGAGAAAACCCACCCUGAGCUUACGCUCGCAAAAACCGUAAACCCCUAAACCCUCCCUUGUUUUUCACUCUCAUUUCAUAUCUUCUUCUCUCUUUGCCCAAUUUCAGAAAACGAUCUCCGUUCACUGAAUCAACAGCUGCAAAAUACCAACCAAUCUUUAUCAUUUAGAAUUGGAUUCGAGAUAUGAAAGAAGAAGAUGCAGGUCCACCAAAGAGAGAGCUUUACGCGGUGCUGCAAGUGUCGCCGGAGGCUACCGAUGAAGAAAUUAGAAAGGCUUAUCGCCACUGGGCCCAAGUCUAUCACCCUGACAAAUACCAAGACCUCCAUAUGAAGGAAAUAGCUACACAAAAUUUUCAACGGAUAUGUGAGGCAUAUGAAGUAUUAUCGGAUGAGAAUAAAAGGCAAAUAUAUGACAUAUAUGGUAUGGAAGGUUUAACUUCAGGUUUGGAACUAGGUCCAAAGCUGAACAAACCAGAGGAGUUAAAGGAAGAACUUGAAAGGUUAAGACGAAAGAAAGAACAAGAAAAAAUGGCAGCACAUUUCCGACCAUCUGGUACAAUAUUGGCGAACUUAUCAUUGCCAAAGUUUCUGGAUGGUGAUGGCAUAAUGAGAGGAAUGGCCAUGUCUAGUGAAGUUCAUUCCAAAUUAUCAAAACACAAUACUAUUGCUAUUGGAGGAAAUUUGGAAGUUCAAGAAAGUUCUGGGGGUGCAGCGGCUAGUGCUGUGCUUAGGCAUCAGCUUUCUUCAGUUUCCUCCAUAGAAUUCAUAGCCUCAGCUGGUUUGCGAGCACUUAUUGGAGUGCAAACUACACGUCGCUUAUCUUUACACUCAACAGCAACAAUUACCAUUGCAAAGUCUUUGAGAGAUGGUUCAAUCAAUCUUUCCAAUUCUUGGACUCGGCAACUAUCUGAAACAGCAAAUGGAAAUAUACAGCUUUUUUUAGGUCCUGAAUCAUCUUUAGCAGUUGGAUGGCAGAAGAAGGAUGAAAAGAUGUCUGCUGCUGGAGAGUUGAAGAUUGGUACAAGUUCUUUUGGAGCAUCAGCUCAUUACACUCGUCAUUUUUCAUCAGUUUCUCAUGGUCGUAUUGCAGGCAGAUUUGGGAGCACUGCUCUGGAGAUUGAAGUUGGUGGUGGAAGAAAAGUAUCCAACUUCAGCACUGUCAGGAUGCUGUAUACAAUAGGAAUUCAGGGCAUCUUUUGGAAAUUUGAAUUGCAUCGUGGUGGACAAAAGUUGAUUAUUCCUAUAUUGCUUUCCAAGCAUUUGAAUUUGACUUUUGCAACGGGAGCAUUCCUAAUUCCUACAUCACUUUACUUUUUACUCAAGGAAGAUUUCAUUUUCAAGAAAUUUGUGGUCAAACCUUACUACCUUCAAAGGGAAAAGCGGAAGGCUUUAGAGAAUAAAGAGAAAACUUCUGCCCAGGUACAAGAGGCAAGGGCAGCAGCAGAAAAAGCUCAACAGUUAUUACAAAAUGUGGCCAAUAGGAAAAGAAAUAGGCAAGUAGAAACAAAUGGAUUGAUUAUUACUAAAGCAGUGUAUGGAAGUGAAAAAGCUUUGAAGAAAGGAGAAGUAUUAAAAGAAGUAAAUGAUGAAUUAGCUUCUGAAGUCAUUGAUGUUACAGUGCCUCUAAAUUUCCUGGUUAAUGAUUCUGGGCAAUUGAAGCUUCAUGAGGGUGUAAAAAAGUCGGGCAUCAUGGGCUUCUGUGAUCCUUGUCCUGGAGAACCUAAGCAAUUAUAUGUGGAGUACACUUAUGGCGGCCAAAUAUUUGAGGUCAUGGUGGACGAUUACGCAGCGUUGUCAAUGCCCCAAGAAUCCCAUAGCGUAUAAUUUUCACUAAUGCUUUAAUUGAAGACGCUGGUUGCCUCUUGCAAUUUUUGGGCAUGCCUCACGAGUUUUUGUUGGUCGUGAAAUGGUGGGUGAAGAGCUUGACCUUUGCCAUGCACAGUUGGUUUUGGAUUUGGAAGGGACACGCCAUACUGCUUCCAUAAUUUCAUCAAACUAGCUAGUUCCAACUAUGUUUACCCCCUUUUUCGUUGCAAGAUUCCAUUUAAAUUACAGUAGCAAAAAAUGAAUAGCCGUUGAUAACCCUGGAAGGUCAGAAAAUACCUAGUUCGUGUAACUUGACUCAUUUUUAUUUUAAUUCAAAACAGGGAUAUGAACUGGUAACUUA